ensembl:lncRNA
ACCAGCUUUACCAUGCAAAAAUCACAAGCACAGUCUCUUUCUCCCUCUGUCAUGCAUCUCUGUUCGGAGUAACAGUGAAGCUCCUCCCCCCCUGCUCUUCUCUCUCUCUGUCUGGAUCUGUCAGUUUCUGUGCUGUUGUUCGGUGGCAGCGUUUCUCUUCACUGCAGAGGCAGCUUCAUUCUCUCCUCCAGGAUGUCGGGCCUUCUGACCAGCUCUCUUCUGCUCUUCCUCUCCCUGACGCUGUUCCAGAUCCCCACACCAGAGGCAAAGCCUCUCUCUACCAUGCGUGGAGGAGGUCGCAGCUUUGACAGCCAGGCAGGUGGAGUCCGUCUGCGAAGAGACCUGCGUGAUUCGGUGCCCUACGAGGCCCAGAUGAUGUCUUACCCCGCUGCUGACUUCAGGAGUCGGAGCAAUGAUCUGUACUACCAACCAGAGGUCUUGAGAGCUCAAGGUCUUGGACAAGCCCUCCAGCGGCUGGUGGAGAACGAUCAGAGGCGGGAACAGGAAGCAGCUUAUCUGGCAUCAAUGCUGCGUCUCCUGAACGAGGCACAGAAUAACGGACAGGGCAAACCUGAGGAAGAGGAGGGUGAUUUCCAGGGCCCAUACCCUCCGGACUACGAUGAGACCGAGCAGGCUGUGAGCAUGGCGAAGCCCCGGGCCUCAUGGCAGGGCCUUCUGGAUCCUCAGCUUACUCAGGCUCUACUCAACCGCUACAAGCAGGAGAGACUGAUGCAGGCUGGACUCGCUCCGAACACCAACAGGAUACCAGAGAGAGAGCAGGACAAAGACCAAGAGAUGCUCAGGUACCUUGUUGAGAAGAUCCUCUCCAGCUUGGCAUCGGGUGGCAAUCAGGGAGGCCCUUCAAACCAGCGUGCUAAACGGGACCUGAGCAUUGUGGCCAAUAUGGAGCAAUCUGGAGGAUCCGCCCUAAAACGCUCCCGCCGGUCCCUGGACUCCGCCUCUGGCCCCUCCCCCCACGUCGAGGCAUCACUGCUGAGGGUGAAACGGCUCGAUGACGACGUGGACGACGACGGGGUCACAGGGCAGAGCAACAGAACGCCACACGUCGGCCUACAGAGAAUGAAGCGCAUAGAUACUGACCUGCCGCCCCCAAAAAAACACAGCCGCAAACGCAGAGCCCUGACCUACGACCCCACUCUGAUCGCACAGCACAUCCUGCAGUACCUGCCAGCCUAAAGAGUAUGUGAAAGUGAGAGGAAUAAAAGGGAAAUGUUUGGGGGAAAUAGAGAGAAAUCUAGACAGACAGAGCAAGCAAGAGUUUCACUUGCUUACAGAUACGCCAGCGUUCAUUGUCAUCUGCCUAAAUCUAAUCAAGGCCUGCUUGCCAAGGUACUCUGAUAUGAUGUUACUUUCAAUGUUAUACUAUAAUAAAUCCCACACACAUAACAGCUUAUGGAAUAUGCUUUUUGUUUUUUCUUCUUUCUGGCUACAUUCUACAGAAUGUAAGCCCUUUUCCACCAUGGAACAAAAAAAAUAAAAAGGUAACUGUGACUUUUUUUCUUGCAAUUCCGGGUUUAUAUCUCACAAUUCUGAGGGGUUUUUUUCUCAGAAGUUCGAAUUCUGGAAAAAAUGGUCAGAAUUGCAAGAUAUAAACUCUCAAUUCUGAGUUUAUAUCUCACAAUUCUGACUUUUUUCUCAGAUUUCUGAGUUUACAUCUUGCAAUUCCGACUUCAUAUUUCACAAUUCUGACUCUUUUCUUCAGAAUUGCAAAACUCCUCCUCCUCUUCCUCAGGUUUGUCCGUUAUUCUGUGCCUCGUUCAGGAGACGCAGUAUUGAUGCCAGAUAAAGUUUAUUCCUCACAGUGAGUUCAUAUUUUGCAAUUCUGAGAAAAAAGAUAAAAAAUCGGAAAUUGUGAGAUCAAAAGUCUCAAUUACCUUUUUAUUUUUUUUAUUCCAUGGUGGAAACAGGCUUCCAUAGUACAUGCAUUAAUUGACCAUAGUGACUUGGAAAUAAUCAGUUAAUUAAUCAUUACCUAUUAUUUUUGUACAUUAACCUUAAUUAAAGAUUCAGAUUUUAAAUGAUGCUACACUAUAAAUAAGAUCUGUUUGACUAAUGCUGUUGAUAACUCACUUGGUCCUUAAAAACAAAACCACAGCUUGACCAGGGUCGUGCAAGAGUGCAUUUAGGUAACGUUUUGUUGUGUGCAUCGAGGAGUGAGUGCCUACUAUAAGCCAUUUGCCACUCAGCAACCUUGAAUCCCUGAGUUUCUCAGCAGAUGAAAGGAGCAUGACUCUGUUUCCUCAGACAUCCAAAUAUAUCAGAGCUUUACUGCAGCUACAGUGAGUUUGGAGACAUUCUGUGUCAUAUUGUGAGCAAAGUAACAGUAACUCACAGCUCACUCAGUAACAGGCUCACUCAGUAGCUACACCUACAGUAUUGUUUUAGAAUUUAAACUAAAUGUAGAUCUUUUUUUUUUGGAAACAAAUGAUUGAGAAACAAAAAUGUCUGAAAUCUAUUUAUUGCAUAAUAUAUCCAGUACAGGUUUAAACAGCACAACACAUCAGAUCAGCUGCUUUAUACAGCAGUAAUCAUCAGCACAACAGGAGUUUAAUCUCAAAAAGAGCCGUCUAAAUGUCAAACAUGCUCUAAGUGAGUUUCCUGUCCUCUCUUUCUCCGAUUGGCUGUCUAAAAUGGUGUGCCAUUGUCUUAGUGUCAUAUGCAUCCUAUCUAAGCUUGAUGAAGUGUUUUUGUCCCUUGACUUGGCUUUGAAACACUCUGUCUGAUACUAAUCGCUGUCCCAACGUCCUGCCCUCUGGGUUUGUAAUCUGACUAUGAAUUUAUGAAGGAAAUCGUAGCUAUAUAAUCGUAUAUAUAAAUGUUUUAGAUAUUUGUGCAGUCAUAAAAUCUUGUACAAAAAUACAUUACUGCAAAAAUACAAUACUGCAAGUUUUGUCAAACAACAAAAAUCACUGUAAGUGCUAAUAAAGUGUAUGUGAACUACAACAUUUUGUUUAGAACUUUGCAUUGCUUUUACAGUGGAAGUGGAUUAGAAAAUACAUCACAUUCAACAUUUAAUGCAACGGCUUGAUAAAGUCAUAGCCUAUUAGCAUAAUAUCUGAAACAAGCACAGCUGACAAUGACUUUUUAGAUUUUAACGGUGGCUGAAGACAAUUACGAUUACAACAGUGGCAUGCAGUUUUAAAGUCAGCGUGAAACAGAAGUUGGAAUCGACUUUACUACCAUAUUGUGAUGUGUUUCCAUGUGAAACUUGUAUAAGAAAAAUAUAUUUUUUUUUGCUGAAAGUUUACUCACCAUCAGGCCAUUCGAGAUGUAGAUGAGUUUAUUUCUUUAUCAGAACAGAUUUUGAGAAAUUUUGCAUUAUGGUACAUCACUUGCUCACCAAUGGAUCCUCUGCAGUGAAUGGGUGCCGUCAGAAUGAGAGUCCAAACAGCUGAUAAAAAUAAUCCACACCACACUAAUGUCCUGUGAAGUGAAAAGCUGUGUGUUUGUAAGAAACAAAUCCAUCAUUAAGAUUUUUUUUUAAACUUCCCUUCCAGCUAAAAUACAAGUCCAUAAUCCAUAAUAAUGCUUCCUCCAGUGAAAAAGUCCAUCUCCUGUUCUACUUUCACAUCAAAAUCCACUGACAUAUUUCUUUAGAAUUAUUUAGGACUGUUUUUCCUUGUAAACAGUGCGUAAUAUGUGCAUAUUUCUCUCCUGAUUCAGAUGAGAUUACUUUUUCACUGGAGAAAGCAAUAUUAUGCAUAGAGGACUCGUAUUUUUGCUAUGGUUUGAAGUUAAAAAUGUCUUCAUGAUGGAUUUGUUUCUUACAAACGCAGGUUUUCACUUCACAAAUUGUUAAUUGCUGGACUGGAGUGGUGUAAAUUACUUGUGGAUUAUUGUGAUGUUUUUAUCAGCUGUUUGGACUCUCAUUCUGACGGCACCCAUUCACUGCAGAGGAUCCACUAGUGAGCAAGUGAUGUAAUGCUAUUUCUCCAAAUCUGUUCUGAUGAAGAAACAAACUAAUUUAAAUUUUGGAUAAGAAAAUAAAUAGGCAAAUUUUGAUUUUGUGCUGACUUAAAUAUGAGCACUGUUAUUUGUUACCUUUCGCUUAAAGAUGAUAAAAUCAGUAAAUCUAAACGAUUAAGACUUUAC